GUGAUGGGGAGUCAUGGUGAUGGGGCGCCGUGGUGAUGGGGCGCCGUGGUGAUAGGGAGUCGUGGUGAUGGGGCGCCGUGGUGAUGGGGCACCGUGGUGAUGGGGAGUCAUGGUAAGAGGGAGCCCGCCCCUCCCACUGGAGGGCCUGGGGGGCAGUGUGAAGCCUGGAUGUCCAUGGCACCACGGCCCAUGGCUGCCUGGCGGGACACCGAGGAGGAUCCCAGCACCGUCAGAACAGGCCGUUUCCUGAUCUGCCUCAUCCUGUGGCCAAACACCAGGGCCCACCCAAGGGAAGCCGGCCAACAUGUCACUGCGGACUCAGGGAAAGCCGAGACUUUUGCUCAUAAGCUGUGCUUGCGUGGAUGCAAUGCAGAAUGAGAUAGCUACCAUUUUAGGCCUCGUUAGAUGAGGUAAACCCUGCUGUAUUGCCUCUGAAAGGCGAUGAAUGCUCUAAGCUUUCUAAAAGGCCUAGAAUGCAUAAUUAGUCAAUAAAACAGUGGGAGAAUAAUGAAGUGUUUAUAAGUAGAGCCUACAUAACAAUUUGUGAUUAAACUUUAUCCCUUAUUUUAAUUUCAGCUUACUAUAUAUAAUGAACUAAAUUACAGGUACUUUUUAAGGCCACCCCUAGAGGCAAUCGUAUCUGAACUUAAAAAAAAUUAUUGCAGUCAACAAACAAAAACAUUUGCACCAACCCUGAAGAUACUAAAGUGGCACUCACUCUACUGGCGUCAACAGCCCUGUUACCUGAGAACGCAGCCACUAAAGAAGAAAAUUGCUUCACUGCUAACAGUGCCUUCCAAUAAAUUAACAAAGUUUCUGUGAACAUUUAUUACACAAGUAGCAGGUGCUGAUGGGGAAGGUGGACAUGUUACCUUGCUGAAGCAACCCUGUCUUGAUUUGGUCCAGCUCAGUAUUUGAUUUUGCAUUUCAGUGUUUAUUUGCAUUUGUUUUGCAUUUUAGUGUUUAUUUGUUAGUGAAGCCGUGGGUGUGUCCAUUUCUGUAAGCUAAGCACAAUAAAAAGGAGAUGUUUUGAUAUAAAAAGCAUGAAUAUUUCAAUGUGUAUUCACAGAGAUUACAAAGUAAUCACUUUAGCAAUAUCAGCAUAAACUAGGAGGAAAACAAUUAGAAAUAUAAAAAAUAGAGAACCUUUAAAAAUGUUUAAAUCCAUUUACAUUCUAAAAUUAUUUUUAAAAUCAUAAUAUUUUUACACAGUUUCUCAACUUACCUCUUUUUGUUCAGCUAGUAAUGCAAUGCUAGCUUUCAAAUCAAGCAUAAAGAAAUUUAACAUCCAUUUCUGCUACCUACUGCAGAAGCUGUAGCAUUUUAAGGAAAGUACAUCCAAUCUUUGAAUAAAAAAUCUGAGGUCAUGUAAAGAAGUCAGUGUACAUAUGAUUAAAAGUAGGAGUGUAAAUAUUUCUUUGAGAAAUGCCCAGAGACAGUAACAAAUUUCUAAUCAUAGAAGUGUCCACAACAGGUCAAAUCUAUGGGAAAUAUAGAGCAGGGCUAUGGCUGAAACCUGUAUGUGCAAUAGAUAUUGUUGGAGUCAGUUUGACCACUGGUCUGCUUGAAACAGCACGUAGGCAAAUACUUGCAGGUCCUGAACUGUUAAAACACUUGUUCACGUUCAACAAAUCUUUGGUGAGCAAAACGGGGCUUUUGACAAGGGCAGCAGGCGUUGGAGAGGGCAGCGAGGGCAGCUCCCAGGUUGACUCCAUUUGUGACAGAAACUAAUUUGAAAUAGAAUAUAGCAAAUUCCAAGAAACAGUAGUACAAACUGUAGUGAAGCACCACUUUUUACUCUGUUUAAGAGCAUUAACAAACUGGAACUUGCUUUUCAGCUUCAGAAGUAUUCUAGGAGAAAUAACCCUCAUCCCUCCAAAAUUAUAUUCCUAAGAAAUGCUCCAUAAAAUAAACAGAAAUAAAGCAAACACAGUGUUGGACUGUGGGAGUGUGUAAUUUGUACUGCAAGUGGUCUCUUACAUACGCUAAAUAAGCAAACCAUUGUCAGGAGAUGAAAAUACAAUUUAAAGAAAAAAAGCAGCACUUUAAAAGGGUUUUCUUUGUCUCUUGACAGAAGGUUACUGUGAAAAUCCAGAUCCCUGUCUCAGCUCUAUGGGAUUCGUGGUUCCUGAAGAUCUGUAAUGACGCUGGAAUUGUCUGGCUGCAGCCGAGAUGUACAGUAUGUUCUCCUGGGUGAGCUGUUCUUCUGAAAGAGGGUCCAUUUUAGCGUGGUGCAUUUGCUGUGAUAAAAUCCCAGAGUCCCUCCCUUCCUUUGAAGAAUAAUGACACUCUCAUCUGAGAGAAUAAGAUCUUUUUCUUUCUCUUUUGUUCUGUUUUGUUAGUGUCAGCUCUGAGGAGCUGACAGACAAACAGCCAGGCUCUUGAAGAUGGACGGGCUUUAUUGUGUAAAUUUCUGGCCUGAUAAUUUACACACGAUAUUGUUUGGCUGAAAAGCACCAGUGUUUUCUCUAGGUGCUUUUGUGCCCAGGGACUUGGGGUUGGGUUUUUUUUGUUUUGUUUUGUUUUGUUUUAAACCAAUAAAAAUGUUAAUUCCAAAAGAAGGGAAUCUCUGGGUCAUGAGAUUUUGCUGCGUAGAUUGACUGACGCAUGGGGGAGGAAGGGAGCGCAGCUCAAGCUUCAUGAUGCCAGCUAUUUCCCACUCUAUGUACAUUCCUCACCAUCAGGCAUAACUGUUUGCUUGCAAAAUCAAUCCGUGAUGUGUACCUGGAUCUCCCAGCUCCGAUUCUGCCCAUCCCUGUGGAAAAAGUAAA